GUACAAACUGAAAUGCUUUAUGAGCCUCUUCAGUCCAUCAUUUCACCGCAGCUGAACAACGUUACUCUUCUGUUCAAUUAGAAAGAGAAGAAUCUGGAAAAUGAAUUUUCUUCUUCUUGCUCUAGCCUUUUUGGUUUCUGCUGCUGAGGAACCCUUACAGAUACUGCCACCCAGUCUGCCAAAGUGUACUGAAAAUUUAAAACAAAGAAGAAAAAGAAGAGGUGGAUUAACAAGUUCAAUGCACAUUGGGCAAACUGAAAUACUUGGUGAGCUUCUUCAGUUCAUCAUUUCACCAGCAGCUGAACAACUCUUCCCCUCUGUUCCACUAAAAAGAGAAGAUUCUGGAAGAUGAAGUUUCUUCUUCUUGUUCUAGCCUGUUUGGUUUCUGCUGCUGAGGAACCCUUACUGGUACAUGGAUGGGCUAUCAGGGAAUUAUGCUGGAAGAAACUUUGCUGUGGUAAAAUUAUCACAGGUUGACCAGACAAUCAUUGUGAUUCUAUGAAUAUAUUGGUUCCUUUUUGGUUUAUGUACUUGUAAAAUAUCUCAUGUGUUAAAACAAUAAUUGUUUUAGUUUAAGGUUAUAAUUAUUUCAUUUUAGCUUCACAUAUUGCAUAAUAUUAUUUUACUUGGGAAAAGGGUAUGGGAAUGAUCAUUUUAUUAAAGGCAUGUUUUUAAGUUUGCAUAAUUACUUUAUUUACAUAGUUGAAAGUCAAUAUGCAUUAAAUAUUUUAAUAUUGUACAUAAAUUCAGAGAUGACUGUUAAUGAGUAUAAUAAAAACAAAAUCAAGUUGAUAUCUGCAGGGCAACGGCAUUAUAUAUAGUAUAUUUGAGGAAUAGAGUUUUCUCCUUUAGAAUCACUGUACUAUAUUCAAUAUGUGAGAUAAUAUUAAUAUUAAUCAUAAUGGAGAAAUAUUUCCAAAACUGUGACUCAUUUUUUAAAGGUUUAUUUUGUAUGUUUGUAUGUGUGUGUUUGUCUUUGUAGUGUGUGCCUGUUACUACAUGUUUUAAAUGGAAUGUGGUAGCAAAAAGGAGAACUCAUGGGCAAAACCACAGAAUGGGUACAGUUUCAACUCUUUCCUCCCUUAUUCAAGUGAUUUCUAAGAGGAAAAUUGGUCUGAAAGCCUUGCCAUACAAAGAUGUUUGACAUCAAAACAUUCUUUUUUAUUUACAUUGAAGGUAUUUAGCAUGUGGAUUUUUGUUACAUGUUUUUGAGAUUCCUUUUUUAUGUUGGUGUAGCUUCCUAACAGGAACCUACAGUUAUUUAUAUUUGCAAUUUUUUUCUUCAGGAUAUUUUGCAUGACAAAAAAUUAUUAUCAUAGAUACAUGUUUUCACAUAAGAUGUUAGGCAAGUAUAAGGUAAAAAACAAAAGAAAUACACAAUAAUUCUGUUAGCACAUAUUUAAAUUUUUUUCCAUCAAAUAUUAAAUAAUAUAUCUUUUUUGAACUUC
ensembl:processed_transcript